rnacentral:rRNA from 1 species
AGCAGUCGCCGCGGGAAUACGGAGGGUGCAAGCGUUAAUCGGAAUUACUGGGCGUAAAGCGCACGCAGGCGGUCUGACAAGUCAGAUGUGAAAUCCCCGGGCUUAACCUGGGAACUGCAUUUGAAACUGUCAGGCUGGAGUCUUGUAGAGGGGGGUAGAAUUCCAGGUGUAGCGGUGAAAUGCGUAGAGAUCUGGAGGAAUACCGGUGGCGAAGGCGGCCCCCUGGACAAAGACUGACGCUCAGGUGCGAAAGCGUGGGGAGCAAACAGGAUUAGAGACCCCAGUAGUCCCUGUCUCUUAUAA